CUGCUGUGAAGGGUAGACUUGGUCAUGUGGGUUUGCAACAUUGUUACUUCUGUAAGACAGAUUGGGAUGGUUCUGCUUGAAGUUGUUGAAACCUUUUUUGUAACCUCCUUGGUUUUGCACAUAACUGAGUUCUUCUGACUAUAGAGUCUCCCCAUCCUGAACUUGGAACGUCUCAUCAUCCCCCAGAAAAUGAACGUGUUUCUGUUGCACUAGGAGUAACUUGUCCAGCUUGUCAUUCAUAGCUUUCAUAUCCCUGUAGUGUUUCUCAUCAGAAUCAGAGUUGGUGCAGAUGCUUCUAUCGUAAUCUUCAUUGUAGUUACCAUCCGACUGUGCCAAAUUCUCUACCAGCUCCCAUCCUUCUUCAACGUCCUUGUUGA
rnacentral:sRNA from 1 species